GUCUGUGCCAGUCACUCACAUGCCAUCGAGUAGGGAGUUUAUCUAACACAGCAAAAGUGGCCUCACACACCCUGGAACCUAUGGAACCUGGAACACAAGGCAAUAAACAGCUCUCAGUGCGUCUCCAUGGUUACCGGCAAACCUGAUGACGUCACUUCCUGGCCGGCUGUGAUGCCGAGACCGGAAGUGCGGGACAGGGGAAGCUUGGGAGCUCCUUGGUCCACGCAGCUGAGAGUCAUUUGUGUGGGGCGUCACCGUGGUAACGCGGAUGGGACCCCGUGACGUAAUUUCUGGUGGAAGUGGUCAUCCCAGGGGGCGGACGACGGGCCUGGAACGGCGUGGCUGCGGUGGCCAGGCAUGUGGAAAUCUUUAGGGGGUGUGUGCACCUAUAUAUUGUGUUUUGUUUGCACUACGUGUUAUCCUGAUGAAGGGGUUAAGAACCCCGAAACGUUGAUGU